rnacentral:rRNA from 1 species
AUUGAACGCUGGCGGCAGGCCUAACACAUGCAAGUCGAACGUGUGGCGGACGGGUGAGCAAUGUCUGGGAAACUGCUUGAUGGAGGGGUAUAACCACUGGAAACGGUAGACAACACCGCAUACUAUCGGAUGUGCCCAUAUGGGUUUAGCUAGUAGGCGGGGUAAAGGCCCACCUAGGCGACGAUCCCUAGCUGGUCUGAGAGGAUGACCAGCCAAACUUGAACGGAGACACGGUCCAGACUCCUACGGGAGGCAGCAGUGGGGAAUAUUGCACAAUGGGCGCAAGCCUGAUGCAGCCAUGCCGCGUGUAUGAAGAAGGCCUUCGGGUUGUAAAGUACUUUCAGCGGGGAGGCGUUACCCGCAGAAGAAGCACCGGCUAACUCCGUGCCAGCAGCCGCGGUAAUAC